UACGAAGGGGGCUAGCGUUGCUCGGAAUCACUGGGCGUAAAGGGUGCGUAGGCGGGUCUUUAAGUCAGGGGUGAAAUCCUGGAGCUCAACUCCAGAACUGCCUUUGAUACUGAAGAUCUUGAGUUCGGGAGAGGUGAGUGGAACUGCGAGUGUAGAGGUGAAAUUCGUAGAUAUUCGCAAGAACACCAGUGGCGAAGGCGGCUCACUGGCCCGAUACUGACGCCGAGGCACGAAAGUGUGGGGAGCAAACAGG
rnacentral:rRNA from 1 species